AUUGAACGCUGGCGGCAGGCCUAACACAUGCAAGUCGAGCGGAUGAAGGGAGCUUGCUCCUGGAUUCAGCGGCGGACGGGUGAGUAAUGCCUAGGAAUCUGCCUGGUAGUGGGGGAUAACGUCCGGAAACGGGCGCUAAUACCGUAUACGUCCUGAGGGAGAAAGUGGGGGAUCUUCGGACCUCACGCUAUCAGAUGAGCCUAGGUCGGAUUAGCUAGUUGGUGGGGUAAAGGCCUACCAAGGCGACGAUCCGUAACUGGUCUGAGAGGAUGAUCAGUCACACUGGAACUGAGACACGGUCCAGACUCCUACGGGAGGCAGCAGUGGGGAAUAUUGGACAAUGGGCGAAAGCCUGAUCCAGCCAUGCCGCGUGUGUGAAGAAGGUCUUCGGAUUGUAAAGCACUUUAAGUUGGGAGGAAGGGCAGUAAGUUAACACCUUGCUGUUUUGACGUUACCAACAGAAUAAGCACCGGCUAACUUCGUG
rnacentral:rRNA from 1 species